rnacentral:lncRNA from 1 species
AUCAGUCGACCAAUCAAGCAAAGGUGUUUCUCAAGGGAUCAAAGCCCUAGGGUUUGUCCAACAAGUUCACAUGACUUGGAGGUCUAUUUGAAGUGUUCAAGUCAAGGGUUGAAGGCUCAGAGGUCAACAGUCAAUGCACAGGCAGGCAGAAAACCCUAAACAGUCGACAGUCAGUCAAAGCAGUGGAUGGUGGCCAUUCUUGUGGAAUUUGGGCACCAUGAUCAAUCAUCAAG